ensembl:lncRNA
AAUAAUACUGGUGCCCUACGAACACCACAAGUGUUAUGGAGCACCAGGUCUCUAAAGACAGACAGAAAGCUGUCAUGCUCCGUGCUGAACCAACAAUCUUUGUCUGAGCUUUGUUUGCAGGUGGGUGUGUCUGCAGAGCUCAGCUGUAUCACAUCAGCGGUCAGGGGAUUUAAGGGGCGGCAGGACAGCUCACCAGUGCCUUGGGUUCCAGUCACAUUCAUAUUCGCUUUCUACAAUAUCACCGGAACCAUCAUCAACAUUCCAGUCCCGCCAUUUGCCCCUGAUCGCCUGCUCUCCGCCACUCACCGGCCCACCUGCAGCUCCUCGGUCUCCCUGCUCAGCCAGGCCUGGCAUACCCUCCCCGGAGAACCCGGAUCAUCCAGGAAACCAACCCCACGGAUCCAUUUCCUGUCCUUGGGAAGCUACCUCUACCGCACCAUUCAAAAUAAACCACUCUUACUGAACUUCCGACUCCUGGUGGUGAUUCUUCAUGUCGAGGGUUAAGGAAUUACCUUCAAACACGACUAAAACUAAAUGAAAAAGAGUGGAAGAGGGACAGAUUAACACAGAUUAGAACAAGUUCUGAUAAACACAGAAAUAGCUAAAGGUCCAGUUUGACAGUCCACUACUCUUCACUAUCGGAUCUAUCGCUGGAGCGUAGAUCAGUCAACUCAGUUAGUUCAAACAGGAGUCACGGUACACGAGCUGAAGUAAAGAGAGGCAACGCUAAUAUUAGCCUUGAUCAGACUCCCCAUUCUCUCUCUCUCACACACACACACACACACACACAUACACACACACACACACACACACACACCCACCCACCCCUAUGAGGAUGUGUGUUUC